rnacentral:misc_RNA from 1 species
GAUGAAGAACGUAGCGAAAUGCGAUAAGUAGUGUGAAUUGCAGAAUUCAGUGAAUCAUCGAGUCUUUGAACGCACAUUGCGCCCCCUGGCAUUCCGGGGGGCAUGCCUGUCCGAGCGUCAUUGCUGCCCUUCAAGCCCGGCUUGUGUGUUGGGUCGUCGUCCCCCCCGGGGGACGGGCCCGAAAGGCAGCGGCGGCACCGCGUCCGGUCCUCGAGCGUAUGGGGCUUUGUCACCCGCUCGAUUAGGGCCGGCCGGGCGCCAGCCGGCGUCUCCAACCUUCUAUUUUACCAGGUUGACCUCGGAUCAGGUAGGGAUACCCGCUGAACUUAAGCAUAUCAAUAAGCGGAGGA